rnacentral:rRNA from 1 species
AUUGAACGCUGGCGGCAGGCCUAACACAUGCAAGUCGAGCGAGCGGCGGACGGGUGAGUAAUGUAUGGGGAUCUGCCUGAUGGAGGGGGAUAACUACUGGAAACGGUAGCUAAUACCGCAUACCAUCAGAUGAACCCAUAUGGGAUUAGCUUGUAGGUGAGGUAACGGCUCACCUAGGCGACGAUCCCUAGCUGGUCUGAGAGGAUGAUCCGCCACACUGGGACGUAGACACGGGCCAGAAUCCUACGGGAGGCAGCAGGGGGGAAAAUUGCAAAAUGGGGGCAAGCCUGGAGGCACCAUGCCGCGUGUAUGAAGGAGGCCUUCGGGUUUGAAAGUACUUUCAGGGGGGAGGCGUUACCGACAGAAGAAGCACCGGCUAACUCCGUGCCAGCCGCCGCGGUAAUAC